ACGUAGCUGCUCACUGCUCUCAUCGGGAAGACGGCGCGCUCUGAUUGGAUGGGGGCCGGGGGGGAUGCAAACGUUCAUGUUUGUGAUGACGGCAUGGUCCCGCCCUCUUCCAUUCAUUGGCUGCUGCUCUCCCCCAGCAGCCAAUAGGUGGUCAUCUUCCCUUUGCCUUUGACUUGCAAGUCGCCUCUCAGCUCCAGCUGGAAGCAGCCGAACUCCUGCAGGACGGCGCAGGUGGCGGCCGACACGUGGAUCUUCAAGGCUGUGCGCACACACAGACACGCGUGGGUCAACGUGGCAACAUCACAAACGUCAUGUGUUCACCUUCUCCGCUGGACUCCAUCCUGGACGAGUCUGACCGCUGUGGACGCCGAUCCUCAGUUUAAGCUGCUCGUCGGGUCGAUGGCGGAUCUUGAAGCUGGUGACGGCGUCCAGCAGGGCGAGGGCCAUGCGCGCCACCUCCCGGCCGUGCAGCUUGCCGUUCCUCACCGGCAGCCCCGAGACCACCAUGUACGCGUCUCCGAUGGUCUCCACCUGGUGGCGCCAGUUGUGUUACACACUCCUGCCACGUCUCGAAUGGCAUACUUGCAUCAGUACACGUCACUCACCCUGCGAGAAGACAAAAGCUUAGCAAGCAAAAGGCUUGUAAAACUCUAUUGUGUGCGAUGGGAUGCGACAUGGAGGUGUCGGUUUCUUUGAUCAAAUGGACAGCCACAGGAAGACCUUGUCAUGACCCGAGAUCUACAAAGCAGAGAGGCAGCAGAACCUGACACCGCUCCAGGCACCUUUUCUUUAAACUGUUUAUGACCGAGGGCGGCAGCUGUUUAUGACCCCCUCCCCAUAGAAACAGCUGCAGCCAUGUAAUCAGGAAAUGCCAAAAUAAAUGAGGAGGUGUGGCGCUCCCUCCUCAGAGCGGCGGAGCGACAUUG